UACGGAGGAUGCGAGCGUUAUCCGGAUUUGUUGGGUUUAAAGGGUGCGUAGGCGGAUCGUUAAGUCAGUGGUCAAAUUGAGGGGCUCAACCCCUUCCCGCCAUUGAAACUGGCGAUCUUGAGUGGAAGAGAAGUAUGCGGAAUGCGUGGUGUAGCGGUGAAAUGCGUAGAUAUCACGCAGAACCCCGAUUGCGAAGGCAGCAUGCCGGCUUCCGACUGACGCUGAAGCACGAAAGCGUGGGGAUCGAACAGG
rnacentral:rRNA from 1 species